AUCGCCCGAUGCCGUCUACAACUACUACGCUGCCGCUCCCUCGCUGCUCUGCUCGCUCUCCUCCCUCCCCACCCCAACCAUCCCCGUCUCCUCCUCCUUCCUCCUCUCCCCCGACCCUGGAUCCAAAUCCCGGCCCGCCCCAGAGCCGGAAUCGAGGCAAGCAAAAGCUUGAGAUAGAUAGAGAGGCGAGGUAGGGAGGCGAGAGGCGAGAUCAUGAAGCGCGAGUACCAGGACGCCGGAGGGAGCGGCGGUGGCGGGGGAGGCAUGGGCUCGUCCGAGGACAAGAUGAUGGUGUCGGGGUCGGCGGCGGCGGGGGAGGGGGAGGAGGUGGACGAGCUGCUGGCGGCGCUCGGGUACAAGGUGCGGGCGUCCGACAUGGCGGACGUGGCGCAGAAGCUGGAGCAGCUGGAGAUGGCCAUGGGGAUGGGCGGCGUGGGCGCCGGCGCCGCGCCCGACGACAGCUUCGCCACCCACCUCGCCACGGACACCGUGCACUACAACCCCACCGACCUCUCCUCCUGGGUCGAGAGCAUGCUGUCGGAGCUCAACGCGCCGCCGCCGCCCCUCCCGCCCGCCCCGCAGCUCAACGCCUCCACCUCCUCCACCGUCACCGGCGGCGGGUACUUCGAUCUCCCGCCCUCCGUCGACUCCUCCUGCAGCACCUACGCGCUGCGGCCGAUCCCGUCCCCGGCCGUCGCGCCGGCCGACCUCUCCGCCGACUCCGUCGUGCGGGAUCCCAAGCGGAUGCGCACUGGCGGCAGCAGCACCUCGUCGUCAUCCUCAUCGUCCUCUCUCGGCGGUGGCGGCGCCAGGAGCUCUGUGGUGGAGGCUGCCCCGCCGGUGGCCGCCGCGGCCGGUGCGCCCGCGCUGCCGGUCGUCGUGGUCGACACGCAGGAGGCCGGGAUUCGGCUGGUGCACGCGCUGCUGGCGUGCGCAGAGGCCGUGCAGCAGGAGAACUUCUCUGCCGCGGAGGCGCUGGUGAAGCAGAUACCCUUGCUGGCCGCGUCCCAGGGCGGCGCCAUGCGCAAGGUCGCCGCCUACUUCGGCGAGGCCCUCGCCCGCCGCGUCUUCCGCUUCCGCCCGCAGCCGGACAGCUCCCUCCUCGACGCCGCCUUCGCCGACCUCCUCCACGCGCACUUCUACGAGUCCUGCCCCUACCUCAAGUUCGCCCACUUCACCGCCAACCAGGCCAUCCUGGAGGCGUUCGCCGGCUGCCGCCGCGUGCACGUCGUCGACUUCGGCAUCAAGCAGGGGAUGCAGUGGCCCGCCCUUCUCCAGGCCCUGGCGCUCCGUCCCGGCGGCCCUCCCUCGUUCCGCCUCACCGGCGUCGGCCCCCCGCAGCCGGACGAGACCGACGCCUUGCAGCAGGUGGGCUGGAAGCUCGCCCAGUUCGCGCACACCAUCCGCGUCGACUUCCAGUACCGCGGCCUCGUCGCCGCCACGCUCGCGGACCUGGAGCCGUUCAUGCUGCAGCCGGAGGGCGAGGAGGACCCGAACGAGGAGCCCGAGGUAAUCGCCGUCAACUCGGUCUUCGAGAUGCACCGGCUGCUCGCGCAGCCCGGCGCCCUGGAGAAGGUCCUGGGCACCGUGCGCGCCGUGCGGCCGAGGAUCGUCACCGUGGUGGAGCAGGAGGCGAACCACAACUCCGGCACAUUCCUGGACCGCUUCACCGAGUCCCUGCACUACUACUCCACCAUGUUCGAUUCUCUGGAGGGCGGCAGCUCCGGCGGCCCAUCCGAAGUCUCAUCUGGGGCGGCUGCUGCUCCUGCCGCCGCCGGCACGGACCAGGUCAUGUCCGAGGUGUACCUCGGCCGGCAGAUCUGCAACGUGGUGGCCUGCGAGGGGGCGGAGCGCACAGAGCGGCACGAGACCCUGGGGCAGUGGCGGAACCGCCUCGGCAACGCCGGGUUCGAGACCGUCCACCUGGGCUCCAAUGCCUACAAGCAGGCGAGCACGCUGCUGGCGCUCUUCGCAGGCGGCGACGGGUACAAGGUGGAGGAGAAGGAGGGCUGCCUGACGCUGGGGUGGCACACGCGCCCGCUGAUCGCCACCUCCGCAUGGCGCCUGGCCGCGCCGUGACCGCGAGUUUUGAACGCUGUAAGUACACAUCGUGAGCAUGGAGGACGACACAACCCCGGCGGCCGCCCCGGCUCUCCGGCGCACGCACGCACGCACGCUCUUGAAGAAGAAGAAGAAGCUAAAUGUCAUGUCAGUGAACGCUGAAUUGCAGCGGCCGGCCACGAUCGACCGUCCGGCGUGAAGAGACGGACGACGACGAACUCCGAGCCGACCAUCCCACCGGCAUGUAGUAAUGUAAUCCCUUCUUCGUCCCCAGUUCUCCACCGCCUCCAUGAUCACCCGUAAAACUCCCAAGCCCUACUACUACUACUACUACUACUACUACUACUAUCAUGUUUAAAUGUCUAUUAUUGCAAUGUGUAAUUCCUCCAAUCGCUCAUAUCAAAAUAAGCGCGGGCCGGACUUUGUUAGCUGCUCCAAUGAGAAUGAAAAUGAAUUUUGUACGCAACGCACGUCCGAAACUGAGCCGAGCUCUGUUCUGUUCUUGAUGUUCAUGGUGUCUUUGGUGAUCAACUUAGCUUCCUUUGCCG
rnacentral:rRNA from 1 species